AGGCAUUAAAGAUACUCCGUACGGCGGAAUACGCCCCUUAUGUGGUGUUUAUAGAUGCUCCUUCUUUAACCAAUGUUGAAGAUACGGACGGAAGUCUUCAGCGGUUGGCAAUAGAGAGCGAUAUUCUAAAACAGGCGUACCGACAUUUCUUCGACCUGAUCAUCGUCAAUAACGAUAU